rnacentral:rRNA from 1 species
UGACUGACCGAUAGUGAACCAGUACCGUGAGGGAAAGGCGAAAAGAACCCCGGCGAGGGGAGUGAAAAAGAACCUGAAACCGUGUACGUACAAGCAGUGGGAGCACGCUUAGGCGUGUGACUGCGUACCUUUUGUAUAAUGGGUCAGCGACUUAUAUUCUGUAGCAAGGUUAACCGAAUAGGGGAGCCGAAGGGAAACCGAGUCUUAACUGGGCGUUAAGUUGCAGGGUAUAGACCCGAAACCCGGUGAUCUAGCCAUGGGCAGGUUGAAGGUUGGGUAACACUAACUGGAGGACCGAACCGACUAAUGUUGAAAAAUUAGCGGAUGACUUGUGGCUGGGGGUGAAAGGCCAAUCAAACCGGGAGAUAGCUGGUUCUCCCCGAAAGCUAUUUAGGUAGCGCCUCGUGAAUUCAUCUCCGGGGGUAGAGCACUGUUUCGGCAAGGGGGUCAUCCCGACUUACCAACCCGAUGCAAACUGCGAAUACCGGAGAAUGUUAUCACGGGAGACACACGGCGGGUGCUAA